GGAGUUGAACGGGUAAUCGCUGCUUUGCUGAUGUCCUUCGGGAGACUGACGUUGAGGUCCUUCGGGAAACUGACGUUGAAGUCCUUCGGGAGACUGGUAGAGGGGAGGAACGUCCGGGCUCCAUAGAGCAGGGUGCCAGAUAACGUCUGGGGGGCGCGAAGCCCCACGACAAGUGCAGCAGAGAGAAGACCGCCGAUGGCCUCAUUUCUUCGGAAGAGGCACAGGUAAGGCUGAAAGGGUGCGGUAAGAGCGCACCGUGCGACUGGCAACAGUUCGUAGCAAGGUAAACUCCACCCGGAGCAAGAUCAAAUAGGCCCUCGCAUUGCGCUGCUCGCGUAUGGGGGCGGGUAGAUUGCUUGAGCCUGUGAGCGAUUGCAGGCCUAGACGAAUGGUUACCGCCGCGCAAGCGGAACAGAACCCGGCGUAUGUGUCAACUCCACCU
rnacentral:RNase_P_RNA from 1 species